UCUGUAAUGCCUGCCCAAGGCCUGAGUCAGCAAGGCACAGCUUUUUUCUUUUUUCUGUCUCUAUCUUUCAGGCCCUAGCCAGAACCUAAGCAUGCCUUCUCUCAUGCUUUGAGCACCCUUAAUUGCUUCUCCAUAGCUUCCCUCCUUGCUAUAUAGACGUCCAUACCAGCUUAAACAGCAAGUCUUUUCCCUUUUGCUCCUCCGUUCUCUUCCUCUGGGCCAGUUGCUGAGAUUUGCAGCUUGUCAGCCUGGGAGCUUUUCUUUUAAACUCUUAAUAAAACUUGUCCUUGAGCUUCUUUUUAAACCCAUUCUUAAAUUGUUUUACAAAUGAGACAAAAAACUGGAAGCGGUGGCCCCAAUUUCCCUUGUAUCGUUAGGUGAUGAACGGCACCCGCUCAAAUUCCUGGAAAAGUAUCGAUGCUUCCUGUAAAAGAUCAGAUUCCCUUAGUGAGCUGAUAAGGUCGGAGCUUGCCUUGAAAUCAAUUAUUCGCCCAAAGCAGCAGUCAAGCACACAGCUUUAGCUUUGCCAGACGUCAAGUUGUGGUUCUUCCCUUGCAGCUCUUGGUUACCAAGAUGGUACGCCGGCUCCUCUCUCUCUAGCAGAAUGUGCGUGGUAGAAGCUCAACCAACUAGAGCGUCACAGUUACUGAGUGAAGAUGGGCUCUUGAGCCAAGCAGAGGCAGUAAUGCUCUGUACCCAUCUACUGAGACACUGAGGUCUUACACUGCUCUGGAAUGCAGUUUGGAGAUUCUGUCACCCGACCAGGAAGGAUACUUAACAGCAGUGCAACUAACAUGGAGGAGAACAGAUAUGAGGACGACGGAAAGCGUUUAAGUAUCGGUUGGAAGGGAAAUCGUGGUUUGGAGACUGCGCCGGAGAGCCGUCGCCCUGUGCGGACGUUACCGCCACCGUGUGGACAGUGCUGGAACCUGUGGGGACCAGGAGGUGGCCCGGCUAAGCGGAUCCUGUGUUCUUCGGAAAGAUUUACUCAAUUUACCCCUAAGAGCAAGUUUGAAAAGUUCCCGUAAGGAAGACACUCGCCUGCGGUUUGCGAAUAUUAACACUCACAAAGGUUAAGAUGAAACCACAUUGCUUUUUCUUGUACACACAAUACAGUGCAAUGCAAACAGAACAGUGACUCGGUACACAUCAGCCAUUUUAAAAGCCACCGCAUGUGUUUUAUUUUUAUUUUUUUCACAUGAGUAAUUUUCACACAUCUCUCUCUCUUCCUUGGUGGAUGUGCAGACCUCAGUUCCCCAACAGACUACAUCCUCGUGUUUUAUACAGAGAUGUUUCAAAUGCCUCAUGUUACACACAUAAUGCCGUGUUUGUAAAAAUCCAUGCAAUAUGUUUCUCUAACAAAAUAAGCCAACUAAUUAAAUUUAAGUUUUACCUUUGGUAAUGAGGCUUUAGCUAUGUACCUGUUUAUUAAUCAUUAAAAACUCAAAUAUAUUUAAAAUGUUGAUCAGUAAACAUUCAAAUGUUUUAUUUUGAGGUUUUAAUCUCUUUCCCUGCCCAUGACAUGUGCUUGUUAUUGUCACAUGACAGAGACCAUCCUGGAAGCCUUUCAAAGUUAUUAUGUUUCCUAUGUGUAAGGUUAAAGAAGUAUCAAUUCCAGGAAAAAAAAAAAAAGGUAAUAGGAAUGGAAGAAAUAGGCAAUGUUAACCCAGUUUCAAAAUGAUUUUUUAGUUCCCUACCCCAAAGGACUUUGUACUUUUAAUAAUUUUCCCUUUUCCAUCAGUGGACAGCAAAGUUGGGUCCUAAUUCAAGGUGUUGACAGCAAAAUAAUUAGAGCCCCUGGGGCCUGGGAGGGUAUUUGAUUCUCGUCUGUUGAUUAACUGACCGGUUCUCAGCACAGUGGCCCCGCAGUCACCCCUUCGACUGGGGCUCCCAUGGUCCCCACACCCAUCACUUUCCAGUGCACUCCAGACAGUCUGUGCUUUUGUGGUGGGAGAAAGGACCUAGACACGGAGGAGGGGGAGGCAGAGAACAGCUCACCAGAGAUUAACGAGGCAAACAGAUUUCAGAAAGGAAUGCAAACGGAACUUGAGGAUAGAAAGAAAAUGCUUCGUAUGUUAGCACUCCUUUCAAAAGCGUGCUCACGCCAGGCAGUCACUGCUUUACCUGCGGAGCCAGGCUGUGCUGAAGCUCUCCAGAAGGUGGUAGGGGUGAUAUGAAGUUUCCAAACUUGGGGCUGAGAAGAUGGUGCAGUUGUCAUGCGAGGGUGAGGUCCUGAGUUCGAAUCCCCAGCACUCAAUACAUGGCCACACCUGCUGUAACUUCAGUGUUGUGGUGGCAGAAGGUUCACUGGAGCGUGGUGGCAGCCAGCCUAGCUCCAAGUUCAGCCAGAAAGCCUUGCUCAGGGGAAUGAGGUGGUAAGCGGCAGAGGAGGACAUCAGACGUCCUACUCUAACCUCAUCCCACACAGGCACAAGCAGCCACAGGCGUCUAACCACACCACGCGCACACAAGUGCACACAAACACACUUUUAACGUGGAAUUUACUGAGUUCUUUACUUUUACUGCCUUAUAAGUUAAAAAAGAAAGAUGUUGGGAGAUUCACAGUCAUGCUAUGAGAACACUUCGACUUUCUAAAAACAAAAAACCAAAAACAACACAGCAAUUGUGCUGUUGGAGGCUGUGGUUCCUAUUUCACUUUGAAAUCCUGUCAGCCAGCCUGGCCAUAAAUUAGACGUAUCUCAGAAGCUUGAAAAUACGCUUUCCGUCUGCAUGCUCCCUCCAGGGUGGCCUGGCCAUGGACCUGUGUGUUGUUCCAGACCCCACAUGGCCAAAUGACCCGGGCCGAGAAGGCUGGUUUCCGGGCUAAGGGUGAAAAACAGACACAAGAAGCCAGGAAUGCUAUCUCCAAACCUCUGCUCCAAGGGAACACGCAUCACUUCCUCCCAUAUUUCUGGGGAACGAGCAUGUUGUGGCCGCACAGAGUUCUGCGUCUGAGGGUGGACAAACUUCCUGCAGGAAGCUGCAGCAGAUACGUGAGCCAACCUGAUAAACGCAGUUCCAGGCAAAGCCCAGAGGAGAGUAGAGAUGCAAGUACCUGCCUAUGGCAGAAUGACAGCUGCCAUUCACCAUGAUGACGUCAGAAACAGGGUAUGUCAGAUGCCUGAAGACCCCUUGGAAGCCUCCUCUGCCUGAAAGCUCCUCCUGUCUGGAAUAACCCACUGUUGCCAGCAUCUUUGUGUGAAUGAGUGUGUGUGUGCUGUGUCUUUUUACACACUUGUGCAGAAGUGCUUUAAAUUUGAAAUGCUUUAAGAUCUAAUCUUUGUAUCGUUUCCACUCAUUAGGUAUUUUCAGAUGUGUCCACAUCGCCGUGUAUAAACCUAGGUAUUUCAUUUAUUCAUCAACGUAUAAACCUAGGCAUUUCAUUUAUUCAUCAACAGUGCGUUAUAUGUAUAGAUCUAAUUUAUCUAUGUUGUCUAGACUUUCAAUUUUAUUUCCAGGGGUUUACAGUAAACAUCUUUAUAUAUUAGUCUGUGCUUGCUUCUCUGAGACGUAUGCCCUUGAAAUGACUGGCU